rnacentral:lncRNA from 1 species
GCAGUGUCAUGAUGGUAAAAAUUCUUAAAGCUUAAAAUAUCAGGACCUACGCUACCAACCUUUUGUCAUCUCCUCUUUUUGGCUUAGAUAUUGAUGGCACACCAAAGUAUUUGCAUGAAUUAGCUAGGGACCAUGCAUCAUUCUUUCCCUUAGCAGAGAAUCCAAUGACCAACAUUAGGUUUCCACUAAGCUUCUAUUUUAUCCAUUUUUAUCCAU